UGACCAGACUCCUACGGGAGGCAGCAGUGGGGAGUAUUGCACAAUGGGGGAAACCCUGAUGCAGCGACGCCGCGUGAGCGAUGAAGUAUUUCGGUAUGUAAAGCUCUAUCAGCAGGGAAGAAAAUGACGGUACCUGACUAAGAAGCCCCGGCUAACUACGUGCCAGCAGCCGCGGUAAUACGUAGGGGGCAAGCGUUAUCCGGAUUUACUGGGUGUAAAGGGAGCGUAGACGGCGAUGCAAGUCUGAAGUGAAAGGCGGGGGCCCAACCCCCGGACUGCUCUGGAAACUGCGUCGCUGGAGUACGGGAGGGGCAGGCGGAAUUCCUGGUGUAGCGGUGAAAUGCGUAGAUAUCAGGAGGAACACCGGCGGCGAAGGCGGCCUGCUGGACCGUGACUGACGUUGAGGCUCGAGAGCGUGGGGAGCAAACAGGAUUAGAUACCCCUGUA
rnacentral:rRNA from 1 species